GGGGAUGAAUGGUAUCGACGUAGAGAUCAGCACAUUAAAAAAUCGCCAGGCCGGACCUAUCCGUUAAAUAGAAAACUCUAAAUGCAGAAGAUAAUUCUGUAGGUUACGGCUACCAAUAUGCACUUGCUGCAUAAUCAGUAGUUAGUAACCCGUUUUCUUCACCGUUUUACUCUGUGUUCAACACGAAGAAAGCGAAAACCAAUACAGAGUGCGUAGUUUCUGGAUUUUAUAGCUAGUUUGCCAGAUUCUGCAAAGGCCCCUCGGGGUAUACAAACAAUUGCUUCCACCGAAAAUUGAUGAUUAUAUCGGCGGAAUACUAAAUCAUCUAUGCCUGGCUACACGAUUUGCAAUGUGCCUUUACGGACCCGGGUUCAACUCCCGGCAUCUCCACAC
rnacentral:tmRNA from 4 species